GGAGUCUGGGCCGUGUCUCAGUCCCAAUGUGGCCGAUCACUCUCUCAAGUCGGCUACUGAUCGUUGCUUUGGUAGGCCGUUACCCUGCCAACUGGCUAAUCAGACGCGGGUCCAUCUUGUACCACCGGAGUUUUUCACACUGUAUCAUGCGAUACCGUGCGCUUAUGCGGUAUUAGCAGUCAUUUCUAACUGUUGUCCCCCGGUAUAAGGCAGGUUACCCACGCGUUACUCACCCGUCCGCCACUAAGUUUAUAAUCACUAGGUUUCAUAUAAACUCCGUUCGACUUGCAUGUGUUAAGCACGCCGCCAGCGUUCAUC
rnacentral:rRNA from 1 species